rnacentral:rRNA from 1 species
UACGGAGGGAGCAAGCGUUACUCGGAAUCACUGGGCGUAAAGUGCACGUAGGCGGCCUAGCAAGUCUGGGGUGAAAGCCCAGGGCUCAACCCUGGAAGGGCACUGGAAACUGUUAGGAUUGAGUUCCGGAGAGGAGGGGGGAAUUCCCGGUGUAGCGGUGAAAUGCGUAGAUAUCCGGAGGAAUACCGGUGGCGAAGGCGCCCCUCUGGACGGAAACUGACGCUGAGGCGCGAUAGCGUGGGGAGCAAACACG